UCUGGUAUUGAUUGGUGCUUGCAUCAUGAUUUACAUUUGAGUGAGUGGCGAACUGGUGAGUAACACGUGGGAAACCUGCCCAGAAGCGGGGGAUAACACCUGGAAACAGAUGCUAAUACCGCAUAACAACUUGGACCGCAUGGUCCGAGCUUGAAAGAUGGCUUCGGCUAUCACUUUUGGAUGGUCCCGCGGCGUAUUAGCUAGAUGGUGGGGUAACGGCUCACCAUGGCAAUGAUACGUAGCCGACCUGAGAGGGUAAUCGGCCACAUUGGGACUGAGACACGGCCCAAACUCCUACGGGAGGCAGCAGUAGGGAAUCUUCCACAAUGGACGAAAGUCUGAUGGAGCAACGCCGCGUGAGUGAAGAAGGGUUUCGGCUCGUAAAACUCUGUUGUUAAAGAAGAACAUAUCUGAGAGUAACUGUUCAGGUAUUGACGGUAUUUAACCAGAAAGCCACGGCUAACUACGUGCCAGCAGCCGCGGUAAUACGUAGGUGGCAAGCGUUGUCCGGAUUUAUUGGGCGUAAAGCGAGCGCAGGCGGUUUUUUAAGUCUGAUGUGAAAGCCUUCGGCUCAACCGAAGAAGUGCAUCGGAAACUGGGAAACUUGAGUGCAGAAGAGGACAGUGGAACUCCAUGUGUAGCGGUGAAAUGCGUAGAUAUAUGGAAGAACACCAGUGGCGAAGGCGGCUGUCUGGUCUGUAACUGACGCUGAGGCUCGAAAGUAUGGGUAGCAAACAGGAUUAGAUACCCUGGUAGUCCAUACCGUAAACGAUGAAUGCUAAGUGUUGGAGGGUUUCCGCCCUUCAGUGCUGCAGCUAACGCAUUAAGCAUUCCGCCUGGGGAGUACGGCCGCAAGGCUGAAACUCAAAGGAAUUGACGGGGGCCCGCACAAGCGGUGGAGCAUGUGGUUUAAUUCGAAGCUACGCGAAGAACCUUACCAGGUCUUGACAUACUAUGCAAAUCUAAGAGAUUAGACGUUCCCUUCGGGGACAUGGAUACAGGUGGUGCAUGGUUGUCGUCAGCUCGUGUCGUGAGAUGUUGGGUUAAGUCCCGCAACGAGCGCAACCCUUAUUAUCAGUUGCCAGCAUUAAGUUGGGCACUCUGGUGAGACUGCCGGUGACAAACCGGAGGAAGGUGGGGAUGACGUCAAAUCAUCAUGCCCCUUAUGACCUGGGCUACACACGUGCUACAAUGGAUGGUACAACGAGUUGCGAACUCGCGAGAGUAAGCUAAUCUCUUAAAGCCAUUCUCAGUUCGGAUUGUAGGCUGCAACUCGCCUACAUGAAGUCGGAAUCGCUAGUAAUCGCGGAUCAGCAUGCCGCGGUGAAUACGUUCCCGGGCCUUGUACACACCGCCCGUCACACCAUGAGAGUUUGUAACACCCAAAGUCGGUGG
rnacentral:rRNA from 2 species